rnacentral:rRNA from 1 species
AUAAAAAAAAUUAUUAUAAUAUUUUAAAUAAAAUAUUUUUAAUUUUAUUAUUGUUAAAGAAAAAAUUUAAUUAAUUAUAAAAAAUUAGUAUAGUGAUAGAAAUUUUAAAUAUAUAAAAUUUAAAUAUUUAAAAGAAAAAAUAAAAUUUUGUACCUUGGGUAUCAGGGAUUAUUAAAUAAAUAUUAUAGAUUUAAUUUUUUCGAUUUUAAAAGAGUUAAUAAAUUAUAAAUUUUAUUAUUAAAUAAAUAUUUAAAAUAAUUUAUUUGUAAUGAAAUGUUAAUCGUUUUUAAAUAUAUCUAGUUUUUGGAGAAAAAAAUUUAAUUUUAUUUUUUAAAUAAAAUUUAUUAAUUUUUUAAUAUUUUUUUUUAAAAAUUUAAUAUUUUAAGGGAUAAGCUUUAAAAUAAAAUUUUAUAAUUUUAUUUUAUUAAAUAAAAUUGUAGGAUUAGAAAUUUUCAUCAAUUUAGUUUGUUAUAAUUAAUUUUUAUUUUAAUAUGAUUUAUAUAAAAUUUAAUUUUUUAUUCAAAUUAAUUAUUUAAUAUUAAAUUAAUUGGAAUAAUGAUAGUAUUAGUAUAUUUAUUAUUUAAAGUUAUUUUUUUAGUUUUAGGUAAAUUAAAGGAAUUCGGCAAAUUAUUUCUCGCCUGUUUAUUAAAAACAUGUCUUUUUGAUUAUAAUUUAAAGUCUAACCUGCCCAUUGAAUUUUAAAAGGCCGCGGUAUUUUGACCGUGCGAAGGUAGCAAAAUAAUUAGUUUUUUAAUUGAAAGCUGGUAUGAAUGGUUGAACGAGGAAAAAACUGUCUCUAAUUUAAUAAGUUAGAAUUUUAUCUUUAAGUAAAAAAGCUUAAAUUUAAUUAAAAGACGAGAAGACCCUAUAGAGUUUUAUAAAUUAAAUUUUUUAAAAUUAUUAGAAUUAUAUAUUUUAAUAAAUUUGAUUUAUUUUAUUGGGGUGAUGGAAAAAUUUAUUAAACUUUUUUUUUAUUAUAACAUUUAUUUAUGAAUUUUUGAUCCAUUUUUAUGAUUAUAAGAUUAAAUUACCUUAGGGAUAACAGCGUAAUUUCUUUAAAGAGUUCUUAUCGAAAAAGAAGUUUGCGACCUCGAUGUUGGAUUAAAAUUAAUUUUUGGUGUAGAAGCUAAAAUAUUAGGUCUGUUCGACCUUUAAAAUUUUACAUGAUCUGAGUUUAAACCGGCGUGAGCCAGGUUGGUUUCUAUCUUUAAUAAGUUAUAAUAUUUUAGUACGAAAGGACCAAGUAUUAAUAAAAUCUAUUUUUUUAGGAAUAAAUUUAAUUA